ACAUCCCGAAACUAAGCGAGCUACUCUAAAACAGCUUAUAGAGCCAACCCAUCCCUGUUGCAAUAGGGUGGGAAGAUUGUAGAGUAGAGGUGACACGCCUACCGAGCCUAGAGAUAGCUGGUUAUUCAAAAGACGGAUUUAAGUCCAACCUUAAGUUUUCUUAGUCUACCAAACAACCCUUAAACUUAAGAGCCAUUCAAAUAAGGUACAGCCUAUUUGAACAAGGACACAACCUACAAUACAGGGUAAUAUCAAACAAUGUGAUAAAGUAGGCCUAAAAGCAGCCACCUUUCAAAAAGCGUCCAAGCUUCCCCAUCAACCAUCCUUAAUUUUAUUACCAACCAACAACCCCCCUCCCCCACUGAAUGACCCCAUACACGUAUGGAAGACAUUAUACUAGAACUAGUAACAAGAAGCAGAACUUCUCCAAAAUGCAAGCAUAAGCCAAUAAUAAACAUCUUACUGGCACUUACCGCUAUAAUAGUACAUUCUUACAAGAAAACUCUACUAAUUAAAACGCUAACCUGACACUAGA
rnacentral:rRNA from 1 species